CAGUUCCUCCUCUCGGCCAGCGGCAGAUCAUGUAACUGGGUCAAACCUGUCAAAGGACCAUCACUUUGGAUAACUUUAGUUUGACUUUUGUUCUGCUGUCAGUCUGAGCAUAAAAUAUUGGACUAACGUCUGGUUCUGCAGUGGGUCAGUAUGUGUGGAAGACGUGCAUUCAGGCUUUCUCUGCUUCUGCUGGUGUGGUGUGUGUGCACAGCCUUAGAAGAGAUUCAAGUGAAACCAUUAGAAACAGGAACAGAUUUGGGCACUCUUUCCUGUCCAAACCAAACCAUUCAUGACAUGAUGUAUGUAAUAUGUAAGAUGAUAAGUGGUGGGAGUGAGUGUCGAGUGUCUCUUCGGUUUGACCAAAAUGGUACAGACAGCACUUGUGACCCCAGAGUCACACUGCAGACAGAGAAUGACAGAGUGUUUCUACACAUCACCAACAUACAACCAUCUGAUGAAGGGAGCUACACCUGUGAGUGUGUAUAUAAUCGAGGAACAGAUAUUUUGCAUCUCAAUAUUUCUGUCAAUGGAUCCCAUGUCACAAACAACCUUUCUUUCCAACGACCUUUCAAUGUCAUGAUAAUAACAGCCUUUGCAGGAUUUGUAGCCGUCGUGGUCCUUGUUGGAAUAAUCAGAAGGAAACGUCAUCACAACAGGAGAACACAGCAGAAAGCGGUGUACACCUUUAAAGAGGUGAUGCAACA